UGCCAACGGGAGAGACAGCUGGAGUAUCUAAACCAAGAGCUUUGAUCUUAGUAUCUGUAAAAAAGAGGUCAUUUGGUCUCCCAGGAAGCAGAGACAUUUAGAAGGUCCCUGUACAACUCAUGCAAGUAUUUUAUUAACGACAAUUUUUAUUCAAAUGUAGUGCUCUGGACCACUCUGUCUGGAUUUUGUCUGAUGUCAUUUUAAGCUUGACCAGUAGAAGGAAGAUUGGACAAGGAGAUAUUGAGAAGGAGGGCAAAAUCAUCAGUUCCCUAUAGGAGCUUCAGAUCUUGGAGCUCACGGGGAAAACUACCCUCACCCACCCUGCAGGAGGAGCACAAUGGCACCCUCUGUUGCCCUGCAUGCUGCUCCCAUGUGGAUGUAUGAAAUCCCAAAGGUAUCCAUUCCCCACCUCCAAAUCUCAUCUCUUUCCACCGAGCUUCCUUGUUUCUUUGGAGUUAUCCUGUUAUUUCCAUUUGUAAUAAAAUCCGUCUUGUUCUUUUUGUACCAAGUGGAGAAACACUGAGAGGAUUGCCACGCUCAUUUCAUUAACAGUGGCCUCCUGUCCCCAUUUUUGUCCUCCCUAAAUGGCAGCUCCUUGCAACAGCUGUAUUAACCACUGAGCUCAGCCCUGCAAAGCGGUGGUCAUUUCCAGCAUUAACUGGAAAGCAAUUAGUCUUGAUGAGAUUGGAGUGUCCAACUUUCAUGCAAUCAAUUAAAUUACAGCUUUUCUUUCAUUUGGUUAAACAAAAACUCGAUUCAUUAAUUAAAAUACAUAGUGAAUCUGAUUUUUCUCUGAUCCUCUGUGUGUUCGUAAGCAAGCAACCAGUUCCUUUUAGGAACCAAAACAAAAUUCCUUCUGGAGCAUGACAAGUUUUCACUCCUAAUCACCUUUACUUUUCUCCACGUGAACACACUUUAAUUGCUCAUUAAUACAGAGUUAACAGGCUGACACACAACCGGCUGCUUCUUUUUGGACUUCUCUAACAAUGACUUUUUUUGUGUGUGUUUGGUAAUGAAACCAGACAUUUCUGAGAGUCAAUCAACUUUUUCUGUGUUUUGCUCCCAUGCCAUGCUGUAUAGGAUUGUACAAUUACCUCUCUGUGAUGUUAUUAUUCAGGACUGAUUUUACUGUGAUGGUGUAAGAGGAAUUAGAUAUGUCCUUUCUAUUGCUGUUGAUAUGACUGUGUCUAUUUUCCCUAAAUGCAGUCUGAAAGAAUAAUCAGAAGCAGUACAUAGAACUCAUCGCUUAGAAAUGAUUACUCAGAAGUCACUAAAUGUUGUUAGUGUAAACAGAUUUUUGUAAAAGCUGUGUUUUGUCCAGCACUUUUAGAUGAAAAUAUUUAAACUGAAGAAAAGUCUUCAAUUUUUCAAAUUAUAAUGUAAAAGAUUUCAGCAAGAAUUAAAAAUCUGACAUAAGGUCCAGUAUAAAAAAGUAUUUCAGUGCAUCUCUUUGACAAACACAAAUGAUCUGUUGAAGUAUAACAAAAAAUGAGUUGGAAAUAUCUGAUGUACUGUGUCUGUUCAGCUUUAAGCAGCCUCACCUACUGUGCCAAUGACUUACAGUCAGCUUUGGAUUUUGUGUGCUCGUCAUCAGCCUUCAGGAUCCACACUACAUUUGCUUCCUUUGAUUCCAAAAAGAUUUUGUCAACAAAUUGAACUGAGUUUUAUCCCAGGCCUCACAAAUACAACCAUGUUUGACAGUUGUGGGAAAGAAAAGAGUUCAAGCAGCAUCUAUUGUUUGUUCAGAAAUAUCUAAUGUCAUAAAUCGAAUUACUCGUAAUGAUUCCAUACUAAUUUGUUAUUUGAGUCCUUUGCAGGUCCACUUUCUCCCAGAUAAUGGGAGACGAGAGGAAUUGCCUAAGCUUUUGAUGCUGUGUAGAUCUCUGCUGAAACACAUUCUGAUUGCUACUGAUCCAGAUAUCUUUUUUUUUUUUUGUAAGCUUAAGCCCACAAGCUUCAGAAUUCAACUUAAAAGA